AACUGAGCUGUGUAAAUGUGACUUUACCCCACUCAAGAAUCAGAGUCUCCCAAACGUUGUUGGGGUUGCUAGGCAACGCCCCGAGAUUACAUCACUCACACAAGCGGAGCUGCCUGCAAUGUCAUCUCUGCAUGGUUACAGCACUUCUGUGGAGAGGCUGGCCCCAUGACUCUCUACCCGGCCCUGCUGAUCCUGCGACCCCAGCCUGGGUAAUCCUCUGAUAACAACUCCUCUCUGGUGUGCGAUCUGUCAGGACGUAUAGCUCAUUCCUACGCCACAGCCUUUGCACUCAGCACUCCCUGAAUCCUCUCCAGGCAUCCACUAGCCCUCCACCAGCUCACUCUCUGACUCUCUGGGCUCCCAGCUCUGAUAUCCAUCCUCACAGUCUGGCCUCCCCAGCUCCACCCACUCCUAGCUUGAUUUGCUGUGUGACUUGUCUCUUACGUCAGGAACUGAGUUCUCUGCCUAUGGGUUUGCCGAGUUCCAUCACUAUCUUGGAGUCCAAGGAAGAAGUAGAAAGUUCCAUCUCCUUGUCUGUGUCCAACAUGGAGUGGUUAGCUUAGUAACGAUAGGUAGACGUUCAGAUGGCUUUAGAACAUGCAGGGAAAGGACAUCUCAACACUGUCCCCAGACAAAGCAGGACAAUGGCUCUCUCUCUUUUCAGUUCCUGGGAGGUUCCCAAGGUCACGUGUAACUUGGUGCUACUCUUUCCUUGAUGUAGUGUCACAAGGGAACCAGUGAGGAAAGAAAACAGACAUGCUAGGUACUGGCGUUUGUUUUGAGGUGUGUGAUGCUGCCCACUGUGAAGAAAAUUUGCUGGGCAUAGCUCCACCUCCUCCCCUUCCCCUCCUCCCUCCCUCCCCUCCUCCCCCUCCUCCCCCUCCCCUCUCCCUCCCCUCUCCUUCCCCCUCUCCUUCCCCUCCCCUCCUCCCCCUCCUUCCCCUCCUCUCCUCCUCCCUCUUUCCCCAGGAUCUCUUUAAAUUGUCUAGGUUGCUAUCCAACUUCUGGGCUCAAGCAAUCCUCCUGCCUUAGCCUCUUAAAUAGAUGUGCACUCAGGUUAGGGUUAUAGCUUCAAAUUUUUGACCAAGAGCCUGAAGGGAUAAAGUGCUUUACAUAGUAAGAGCAAGGUAUGGACAAGACACAAGGGGCAGGGACACCCUGGCCUGGAGUGUGUGCAUGUGUGGAUGUGUGUAUGAGUGUGUGUGUACUUGUGUGUACUGUGUACAUGUGUGAGUACAUGCAUGUGUCUGUGUGAGUGUGUGUACAUGUGUGAGUACAUGUGUGUGUGAGUAUGUGUCUGUGUGUAUGAGUGUGUGAGUGUGUACAUGUGUGUGUAUGCAUGAGUGUGUGUACAUGUAUGAGUACAUGUGUGUCUGUGUGUAUAAGUGUGUGUAUAAGUGUGUGAGUGUGUACAUGUGUGUGUACAUGUGUGAGUAUGUGUGUGUAUGUGUCUGUGUGUGUAUGAGUGGGUGAGCCUGUGAGUGUGUGUGUGUGUGAGUGUGUGAGUGUGUGUCUACACUAUAGUGAGCCUUGGAUGAUGACAACCACAGACUCCAAGGCAGAAGACUCAUGGGUAACUCUGGUAAGGAAAGUCCUCUGUCCCCAUCGCUUUGGUGAGCCCAACUUUCCAUAGUCCUAGGACUGUUCUCAGCAGGCCAGAGAGCAUGGAGGGGCCUAUAUAAACAUGGGGCUUAUAUAAACUGCAUGCUCCUUAUAUACACAGCCCAUCGUCGAUGCCGUCACUGCUGCCAAGGUCUCACCAGACAUGGCAUUCAUACACCCAGAAUGACAACAGUGGGGACUCAGCUAAAGGACUCGUCACCAAUUGCACUCAGCCAGGGCAUGGGGGCUCAUGAGGCCCUGGUAGGAACUUUGGAGCUACAAGGUCCCAUACUGGGAAAGGACCUGAGAGAAGGCAUGCCCAGUGGCUUCAGAUUCCCCAUGGCUGUGUGUAGUGACACUCUGCUGGCUCUCCUUUUGGCCAGACCGAGAAUACCUGCUGGAUUUGGAAACUGAGUCCCAGCUUCUCCAUCAUGUUAUCUAUGAGUCUUUCCACUCAUGGGGCUGAAAUGCUCUGCAGGGGUUAAGAGCAAAGCCUGAGAAAGCUGACUCUCCACUUCCCUUCCUCUCCCUUGCAUGAAGCCUGAAUGGUGCCAAUCUGCUCCCAGACCUGCUUGGGAAAUGCUCUGGCAGGGAGAACUUGGCACACGCUGGCUGUAAGCAGGGCAAAGAUCUUCCCAGCCUCGGCUCCCAGAUUUGCAGCCACUGCCAAUGCUGCUCGCCCAGACCCUCUGACAUACAUGAUUUUGCUUCUAGCAGGCUAGGGGUCCCUGCCCAGCCCAUUGCAUCUAAGCCAAGUUGUGCUAUUUGUUGGAGGGUUCCAGGUCUACCCUGUGAUUGGGAUUCUCCUCCUUUCUACCACAAGCCAACCCAACCAUAUCGCCAGUGUGUGACCAGCUAGGCCAUAGCCUGGGGAGGCUGACUACAGUGUGCUAUGCUGGGUGCUGCUUGGGACCGGCAGAGCAGGGACUCUGAGGCCCUGAUGGUUGAAUGAUAACAACCUGUUGGAAGUGGUUCUUCACAGGCCUUCAUGGCCAAGGCAGACAUUGAGGCCUUCAUGGCCAAGGCAGACAUUGAAACUCAAGUCGGGAGACAGAAAGAAAGCUGGAAAGUUCUAGAAUGCUAACCAGGCAUGGUGGCACAUACCAGCACCUAAGGGAUGGAGAUGGGAGGAGGUCAAGUCAGCUUUGAAUACAUAUUGAGUUUGAAGCUAGUCUGGGCUACAGGAGAUUCUGUCAAAAAGCCAAAGAACCCCAAAAGUUCUAAUGGGGUUGGGAAAGUGUCUCAGUGGAGAAGAGAGCUCACUGUCUAAGCCUUGGGACCUGCAUCUGAAUCCCCGGCAGCCAUGUAAAAACUGGUCAUGGCCGUGCAUGUUUAUAACCCCAGUAUUGAGGAGGAGGAGGAGACAGAAGGUCCUGAGAGCCUGGGACCCAGUCAGCCUAACAGAGGAGGGGGACUUUUAGUUCCAUGAGAGACCCUGACUCAAGGCAAUAAGACAACAAGCAACAGAGGAUGAACCUUGUGUGGUGGGAGUGGCACUCUUAGGAGGUGUGGCCUUGUUGGAGGAAGUGUGUCACUGUGGGGUGGGCUUUGAGAUUUCUCCUCCCAGCCGACCACAGACAAUUUCUCUUGGCUGCAGUCGGAUCAAGACGUAGAACUCUCAGCUCCUUCUCCAUGUCUACCUGGAUGCCGCCAUGCUUCCCACGUUGAUGAUAAUGGACUGAACCUCUGAACCUGUAAACCAGCCCCAAUUAAAUGUUGUCCUUAUAAGA